AAGGAUUUAAGUUAAAACUAAACUCGUAGCCUUCAAAGCUUCAAAUAAAGAACUUAAAAUUGAUCUUUAAGUCCUUA
rnacentral:tRNA from 1 species